rnacentral:lncRNA from 1 species
CGCUUGGGUGCUCCACUUGGCAGGUGUAAACCUCUCCACUCCGAGGAACUGUUUCCAGCAUCACCAGGGUCUGGAAGGUCCAGUCUCCAUUCUGGAUCAGGCCUGUGGACACCAUCCCAGCCUUCUCUUCCUGGCCGUUCAGGAACCACCUGACUUCAAUGCUGCCUGGAUAGAAACCACUCACAGAGCAGACCAGGAGGUUGUGGUGCUGCAGGGGCUGGGUCUUUGAAGGAUAUACAGUCACCU